UCAAGCUAAUAAGGGCGCAAGGGGGAUGCCUUGGCAUUGGUAGCCGAUGAAGGACGUAGCGAUCUACGAUAAGCCACGGGAAGUCGAAAGCAGGCAAUGAUCCGUGGAUUUCCGAAUGGGGAAACCCGGCAGAGCAAUACUCUGUCAACUCCUUGUGAAUAAAAUAGCAUUGAGUAGGGAACCUCCUGAACUGAAACAUCUAAGUAGGGAGAGGAAAAGAAAUCAACCGAGAUUCCGCUAGUAGUGGCGAGCGAACGCGGAAGAGGCCAAACCAAGAGUAGUAAUACUUUUGGGGUUCGGACUGAGUACGGUAUUGACAAAGGUUAGUAGAAUGAAAUGGGAAGUUCAACCAUAGAGCGUGAGAGUCGCGUAUACGAAAACUUGAGUCAGCCAUCAGUAUCCAGAGUACCGCCGGACACGUGAAACCCGGUGGGAAUACGGGGGGACCACCCUCCAAGCCUAAAUACUCACCAAUGACCGAUAGUGUAUAGUACUGUGAAGGAAAGGUGAAAAGAACCCCUGGCGGGGAGUGAAAAAGAACCUGAAACCUUGUGCCUACAAGCACAUAGAGCACAUCAACGUGUGAUAUGGUACCUUUUGUAGAAUGGUCCGGCGAGUGAAUGUCACUAGCGAGGUUAAGGACUUAAGGUCUGCAGCCGAAGCGAAAGCGAGUCUUAAUAGGGCGCUAAUAGUUAGUGGUAUUCGACCCGAAACCGAGUGACCUAGCCAUGAGCAGGCUGAAGUGGAGGUAAAACUCCAUGGAGGGCCGAACCCACUCCCGUUGAAAUGGUAGGGGAUGACUUGUGGCUAGCGGAGAAAUUCCAAUCGAACUCGGAGAUAGCUGGUUCUCUCCGAAAUAGCUUUAGGGCUAGCCUCAAAUAACAUUACCGCAGGUAAAGCACUGAAUGGGCUAGGGGGCGAAAGCUUACUGAACCCUAUCAAACUAAGAAUGGCGGAUAAUGAAUAUUUGGGAGUCACACUACGUGAGAUAAGUUUCGUGGUGGAAAGGGAAACAGCCCAGACCCACAGCUAAGGUCCCAAAGUACAGUUAAGUGGAAAAGGAUGUGAAGUUGCGCAGACAACCAGGAUGUUGGCUCAGAAGCAGCCACUCAUUCAAAGAGUGCGUAAUAGCUCACUGGUCGAGUGAUUUUGCGCCGAAAAUUUAACGGGGCUAAACUGUACACCGAAGCUUGGGAAUAUACCUCUGGUAUGUUGGUAGGAGAGCGUCGUAUGCGGGGUGAAGUCGUAGCGAAAGCGGCGGUGGACUGCAUAGGAGUGAGAAUGCCGGAAUGAGUAGCGAGAAUUAUGUGAGAAUCAUAAUGGCCGAAAGACUAAGGUUUUAGAAGGAAGGUUCGUCCGCUUCUAGUUAGCCGGGAGCUAAGGCGAGGCCGAAAGGCGUAGUCGAUGCACAUACGGUUGAGAUUCCGUAGCCACCUUAAAUUUAAACUAAGGGACACAUUGAAAGGGAAUAACCCAGGCGUUGGUUGACCUGGGCGUAAGGGAACGAAAAUAAGUAGUGAAGUAUUCUUGGACAGUGGCGAGAAAAGCUUAGUGUAUAUUAUUAGGGUGCCCGUACUGCAAACCGACACAGGUAGUCAGGAAGAGAAUUCUAAGGCCAUCGGGAGAAGCGUUGUUAAGGAACUCGGCAAAUUGACCCCGUAACUUCGGAAUAAGGGGUGCUCACGCGAGUGAGCCGCAGUGAAUAGGUCCAGGCAACUGUUUAUCAAAAACACAGCUCUCUGCUAAAUCGUAAGAUGACGUAUAGGGGGUGACACCUGCCCGGUGCUGGAAGGUUAAGAGGAGGAGUGCAAGCCCCGAAUCGAAGCCCCAGUAAACGGCGGCCGUAACUAUAACGGUCCUAAGGUAGCGAAAUUCCUUGUCGGGUAAGUUCCG
rnacentral:rRNA from 1 species